AACGUAGGAGGCGAGCGUUAUCCGGAGUGACUGGGCGUAAAGCGCGCGCAGGCGGCUUGUCAAGUAAGGCCUGAAAGGUCUCGGCUCAACCGAGGAGACGGGUUUUAGACUGGUGAGCUGGAGCAGUACAGAGGAGCGUGGAAUUCCGGGUGUAGCGGUGAAAUGUGCAGAGAUCCGGAGGAACACCAGCGGUGAAAACGGCGCUCUGGGUACCGGCUGACGCUGAGGCGCGAAAGCGUGGGGAGCGAACGGG
rnacentral:rRNA from 1 species